rnacentral:rRNA from 1 species
UACAGAGGUCCCAAGCGUUGUUCGGAUUCAUUGGGCGUAAAGGGUGCGUAGGUGGUGAGGUAAGUCGGAUGUGAAAGCUCCGAGCUCAACUCGGAAAUGGCAUUGGAAACUACCUUGCUAGAGGGUUUGAGGGGGGACUGGAAUACUUGGUGUAGCAGUGAAAUGCGUAGAUAUCAAGUGGAACACCAGUGGCGAAGGCGAGUCCCUGGAAAACUCCUGACACUGAGGCACGAAAGCUAGGGGAGCAAACAGG